rnacentral:tRNA from 1 species
UAGGGGGUAGUGUAUUGGAAGCACAAGGAGUUUUGGUCUCCUUAGAGAGGGUUCAAGCCCCUUCCCCCUAA